rnacentral:tRNA from 1 species
GCCUCCGUAUUGUAACGGUAGCACACUCGGCGCCUAUUCGAGAAAUUCAGGUUCAAGUCCCGGCGAGGGCA